AGAUCGGGACCUAUGAGAGUUGUA
rnacentral:siRNA from 1 species